AUGCUUGUCAAAUGUGUUUACACUAGACAUGGAAUGCCUGGCAAAGAAAUGCUCAGCAAAGAAGCACAGCUUGGUAGGCAUGGGUGCUGGCUGCUAGUGGUACAUCUGGACAGUACUUCUGAGCCCUCUUACCCCUGUGGCAGCUCUGAUGAAGGAUGCACUGCUACGUAUACCAGAACAGCCAAUGAAUUGUUUACCUCGAAGACUUCAGCCAGCUCUGUCAAUAACCUUUGGGGAAGCUCCAGCUGAUGAGCCGACAGAACAGCAUGGGCACACAGUCCUUGGCCACCAGAGGAACCUGGCACAUUAACUAAACUUUGGAGCCUUUGUUUGCCCUUGGCAUGUCUGCUUUAGAGUUUUGUGCCAAGAAGGCACCACAGAGCCUCCAGAAAAUUAGAAAUUCUACAAAAUGGAAUGACUUUUAGUGUAGAGAUGCAACAGUAGCGAAUAUUUGUAAACUAUUCCGACAGCAUUCUUGGCAUCUGGCUGGCAAUUUCAUGUAAUCAGGUUUCUCCUUUAGUUCCUGUUAUGUUAAUUUAUUAGUUUGUGAAACUAAAAAAUUGCAGCUUACACUCUGUUCAGCUUCCAGAUUCAGACAUAUUGUUUUAAAAUCUGCACAGUGCAAGAUGGAAAUCUGUGCUUUUUAAUGCAGGUUUUAAAAACUGCAGUUAAAUAAUUUCGGGUGUGGGGGGGAAGCCAUAUCCAAGGAUAACACCUGUUUUGAUGCAAUUAAAGCCCUACAGCAAUGUAUGGAUAAAAUACUUCCAGAAAACGUUUCAAAUGAUUACAAGACCAAAGGGGUUGUGAGUAGUUACUCCCCAGAAAAUAGAUUGGUACUGCUGGAAACAGAUCGAUUUGAACUAACUAUUGCCCAGGUGCAAUGGAAGGUGUAAGAUGGUGGCAUUUAAAAUGCAGAAGAGUAAUUGGAGAGACAGGUGCUGCUUAUGCUGAAACUUGCCUGUUGUGAUAUACAAAAAGCAAGGUAAAGCUGCUGGUGCAGUGCAGUGGCUUUAAAGCAAGAUCGAUUAAAUUAUUUUAUUAAAAAAAAAAAAAAACAACAACAAUAAAAUAAGUCACAGCUCCUCUGUCCUUUCUUGC
rnacentral:lncRNA from 1 species